GACGAACGCUGGCGGCGUGCCUAAUACAUGCAAGUCGAACGGUGAAGAGAGGCUCUUGCUCUUCUUGGGUGAGGUGCGGACGGGUGAGUCACGCGUAUGUACCCUGCCUUGUAGCGGGGGAUAACGAUUGGAAACGAUAGCUAACAUCGCAUAACAGUGGGUGACACAUGUCUCUUAUUAGAACGGGGCAUUUGCUCCACUUCAAGCUGGACAGGCGUUGUAUUAGCUAGUGGGUGAGGUAAGGGCUCACCUAGGCGACGAUACAUAGCCGACCUGAGAGGGUGAUCAGCCACACUGGGACUGAGACACGGCCCAGACUCCUACGGGAGGCAGCAGUAGGGAAUCUUGGGCAAUGGGGGCAAGCCUGAUCGAGCAACGCCGCGUGAGUGAAGAAGGUUGUCGGAUCGUAAAGCACUGUUGUAAGGGAAGAACGGGAGUGAGAGUGGAAAGUUCAGUCUGUGACGGUAGCUUAGAAGAAAGGCACGGCUAACUACGUG
rnacentral:rRNA from 1 species